rnacentral:rRNA from 1 species
AAGUCGAACGGCAGCACGGGUGCUUGCACCUGGUGGCGAGUGGCGAACGGGUGAGUAAUACAUCGGAACAUGUCCUGUAGUGGGGGAUAGCCCGGCGAAAGCCGGAUUAAUACCGCAUACGAUCCACGGAUGAAAGCGGGGGACCUUCGGGCCUCGCGCUAUAGGGUUGGCCGAUGGCUGAUUAGCUAGUUGGUGGGGUAAAGGCCUACCAAGGCGACGAUCAGUAGCUGGUCUGAGAGGACGACCAGCCACACUGGGACUGAGACACGGCCCAGACUCCUACGGGAGGCAGCAGUGGGGAAUUUUGGACAAUGGGCGAAAGCCUGAUCCAGCAAUGCCGCGUGUGUGAAGAAGGCCUUCGGGUUGUAAAGCACUUUUGUCCGGAAAGAAAUCCUUGGCUCUAAUACAGUCGGGGGAUGACGGUACCGGAAGAAUAAGCACCGGCUAACUACGUGCCAGCAGCCGCGGUAAUACGUAGGGUGCAAGCGUUAAUCGGAAUUACUGGGCGUAAAGCGUGCGCAGGCGGUCUGUUAAGACAGAUGUGAAAUCCCCGGGCUCAACCUGGGAACUGCAUUUGUGACUGGCAGGCUAGAGUAUGGCAGAGGGGGGUAGAAUUCCACGUGUAGCAGUGAAAUGCGUAAGAUGUGGAGGAAUACCGAUGGCGAAGGCAGCCCCCUGGGCCAAUACUGACGCUCAUGCACGAAAGCGUGGGGAGCAAACAGGAUUAGAUACCCUGGUAGUCCACGCCCUAAACGAUGUCAACUAGUUGUUGGGGAUUCAUUUCCUUAUAACGUAGCUAACGCGUGAAGUUGACCGCCUGGGGAGUACGGUCGCAAGAUUAAAACUCAAAGGAAUUGACGGGGACCCGCACAAGCGGUGGAUGAUGUGGAUUAAUUCGAUGCAACGCGAAAAACCUUACCUACCCUUGACAUGGUCGGAAUCCUGAAAAGAUUCGGGAGUGCUCAAAAAGACCGGCGCACGGUGCUG